rnacentral:lncRNA from 1 species
AGCCUGGGACUGUUGAUCUCCAGGGUGUGCUACAAGAAGCAUUACUCUGCUCAUAUCAGUGAUGACCGUGACGCCUUCAGAAAAAAGAAUUUGUGCCAGCUCUGUAACAAGUGAGGGGAGAAUGUGGUCGCCUGCUCCUGUAUAACAAAGCUCUGCCAUGCAGGACUGCUCACUGGCACUGACCUGGCACGUAGCUGUGAGACAAGUGACCUGAGACAGAAAUCAAACACAGCAGAUUCUUCCUGGGUGACCGGAGGCAAGGAAUGCAUUGGAAGUGAGAUUAGCCCAUUAUAAAGAGUGGAAGAGAAAUUCAAGGAAUCCAGAUAAGUAAAUGCUGCUUUUAUAACAUCUUUUGCUCUAACUACAUAGCACAGUGAUUUAAAAGCAAAAGUUCUCACACCCUAGACUCAGAAUAAAAUGGUCUACUGGGAACUCUGCA